rnacentral:lncRNA from 1 species
GCCGUUACAGCUAAUGUUGCUGCUGCGGUAUCCGUCUCAGCAAGGGCUACAUAGCGCUCGUCGAAAUACUCAACCAUGACGGUCUUGAUAGACCCAAACAUCUCCGACAACUAUGUCCGAAAAAGAGCAGCAACCUCAUCGUGCAGGAUCUCCUGAAUCCUAGCAUCCAGAUCCUUUGGUCUCAUCUAACUAGUAGUCCAUGUCACUACUGUUGGCCAGCCCUGGCUACCAGCUCCUGAUCCUGGUUUGGAUCCAGUAUCAUAACCACCAUUCUGAUACUACACUAGAGAGAUCUCGUAUAAUCCAUAUAAUAAUAGGGAACCAAUUUCCCAACUAUACCCUAGGGGUUGUGACUUCCUUGUUACGCGUAUGGGUCCUGUGCUUUCAGUAGUACAGGCCCAUACUACCUUCCACACCUACCCAUAUUUGUCUCAAGUGUCAUCACAACACCCUAACAAUAUACAAUAACAUGGAUAGCGAUCAAUCCUCACUCCUAGAGGAAUGCUAAGUAUCUCAUACUGGCCUACCGAACUCACACAACCCACCCAUGAAACUUCCACCAACCCUGAAGCACUCGUGUAUGUUAGCCAUACAUAAUGUUGGACCCUAUAGAGUUUCGAAUACCUGAUCCUACCCUAAGCCCUUCAUCAAACAAGAACAAGAAAUAAGGCCAAACCAAACAUUCUUAGGCUAUAAGAUCUUAAUUAUGUACGCUCGUGAUGCAUACACUAAGCAACUACAAUAAUGAUGUCAAUUUCAUAUAAGGAAAACCCUAGGCUAUCAUGCAUCAUACAAUCAGGCAAUUCUAUCAUGCAAUUCCUGAAGAUCCCUAGACUAGUACUAGCAUGCUGUUUUAACAUAUCAUAAUAUCAAAUAUCCAUAUGGUAUUUUGGGGUCUACUUACUGGCUCCGGCUGAUCGUACAAUCUGCAUCCUCCUUUAGUAUUUUGAAAACCAUUUAAAAAUCAUUUUGAAAAUAUUUUCCUUGAUUUGAGACUGGAUUCACACGAGUGUUCCUCCAAUUCACUCAAACCAAGGCUCUGAUACCAACGUGUAAUACCCAUAAAAAUCAAUCCAAUUUAAAACUUUUCCAAACAUCUAAAAGCCAUUACUUAUUACACAAUGUUUUCAAAAUAGUUUCAUAUUAGAGUAUCCCAAAAACCAUAAGUCCAAAACGCGAGGAUGUGUAUGAUCAUGCCUUCGCCUUGUCGAGACAUCUGAAACACCUGAAACAAUAAACUGAAACCGUAAGCACAAAGCUUAGUAACUUCUCCAAAAUACCCAUACAGACAACAAUAAACAUAUAAUCGCAAACAACAUACUAUGGGUCCAGUCAACCAUCGGGUUGGAAUACCCAAGGCCCUCAACCAUCAGGUUGGAAUGCCAACAUACUAUGGGUCCAGUCAUCCUGGGGAUAGAAUACCCCAGGCCCACAACCAUCGGGUUGGAAUGCCCACAUACUACGAGUCCAAACAUCCUCGGGAUGGAAUACUCACGACCCACAACCAUCAUGUUGGAAUGCCCAGGUCUGUUGGCUCUCGUACAAAGCAGAUAAGCCUCAACCACCGAUCAAACAUGUGUACAUAUAUAAGAUAAUCACAUAACAGUCUAUAAUCAAACAAAUCGAUCUAACAUAUCAUAACAACAUAAUAACAUCCUAUCUACCAGGAUACCGAUCUAACAGAACAUUCUAGCAUAACAUCGUCCUAUCUACCAGGAUACCGAUCUAACAGAUCUUAACAUCAUAAUACCAUCCUAUCUACUAGGAUACUAAUCUAACAAAUAAUACUAGCAUAACAUCAUCCUAUCUACCAAGAUACUGAUCUAACAUAUCAAAACAACAUAAUACCAUCCUAUCUACCAGGAUACUUAUCUAACAGAUCAUACUAGCAUAACAUAUCCGGAUAACAAUACAAAAGGGCCAGCGUUGGUGCCUUAGACCCUUGAGUAUAGCGCUCGUCGAAAUACUCAACCAUGAUGGUCUUGAUAGACCCAAACAUCUCCGACAACUAUGUCUGAAAAAGAGCAGCAACCUCAUCGUGCAGGAUCUCCUGAAUCCUAGCAUCCAGAUCCUUUGGUCUCAUCUAACUAGUAGUACGUGUCACUACUGUUGGCCCGCCCUGGCUACCAGCUCCUGAUCCUGGUCCGGAUCCAGUCUCAUAAUCACCAUUCUGAUACUACGCUAGAGAGAUCUCAGAUAAUCCAUAUAAUAACAGGGAACCAAUUUCCCAACUAUACCCUAGGGGUUGUGACUUCCUUGCUACGCGUAUGGGUCCUGUGCUUUCAGUAGUACGGGCCCAUACUACCUUCCACACCUACCCAUAUUUGUCUCAAGUGUCAUCACAACACCCUAACAAUAUACAAUAACAUGGAUCGCACUCAAUCCUCACUCCUAGAGGAAUGCUAAAUAUCUCAUACUGGCCUACCGACCUCACACAACCCACCCAUGAAACUUCC